rnacentral:lncRNA from 1 species
GGCAAGUGGUAACAACAUGUUUUCCUGAGGGGAAAUAAUGUCCGUCGGGGGACAUUAUGUCAGAGUCCAAAAACAUUGAAGUACAUUGAAAUACACAUAAAUAGCAACCCAGCUAGCACAUUUGGUUACUUCGAAGUUUCCCAUUGGUUCUGGGAAUGAAGCCAGAAGUUUCCUAAACGGGGGGUUCUGAGAACGUUUUGCUGUGGUUCCCUGACAGUUUUCCUGGACCUGAGCCCUAGGACCAUGCCUCAGGACUACCUGGUAUGAUGACUCCUUGCUGUCCCCAGUCCACCUGGCCGUGCUGCUGCUCCAGUUUCAACUGUUCUGCCUGCGGCUAUGGAACCCUGACCUGUUCACCGGACGUGCUUGUUGCACCCUCGACAAC